CAGUUUCCAGGGGAAAUAGGGCUUCUAGUGGGAGUCCCUGUCUCUGAAGAAGAGAAAAUAGUGUGUGUGAGCCAGCGCCCAAUGUAACUUUCUUAUUGUCACAUGCCAGUUGUGGAAGAUGCCCAGUGUUCAUGCAUAUUCAUUCUUGGACAUCUGCCAGCGUACCGUGUCUACCGACAGUGGCACAUUAUAAAGUGCUAUGUCUCAAUGGACAGGUUAUAGUGCUCCAGGUCCAGGAAGAACGUCUGUGAACCCUGCCUUUUCCUCCAGGGAUGUGAGACAACCAUUCGUGUGGUGUCCAUAGACAGAGACUACCAUGUGGACUGUUACCACUGUGAGAAGACGACAUGCUGUCAGUUCCU
rnacentral:lncRNA from 1 species